AAUUAUUGUGUAUUAAAGGACAUCGACUCCGUCUUCUAUACUUGUUCCUAUUCGUUCAUCAAAAAUGGGGUAACCAUCUUCAUCUGUUUUAAAGGCAUUAAUUAUUCUUGAUUUUGCAUCUUCUGUGAGAUGUUUAUCCCACCAGAAACGAAGUGUUCCUGUGAAGCCUGUUUGUAAAAGGGAAACUAUUUCUAAUUGUCUUAAUUGAUGAUUGGUGGCGUAACUAUUGGCUACCAUAGACAUAUGUUGUAACGUGUUGAGUAUCUCCUAUUCGGACAAGCCAUCGAUAUUCCACUCGUAUAGCUUAUCAGAAGAUACUGAGAAUUGACUCUGGGUUCUUUCUUCAAACUGGACAUCUGGAGGCGUAGGUUUAGGGUACCAAUUUUUUGUAAGACUUGUGGGGUUAACUUUACCUGUUAAACGACUAACUUUAAGAUUCUGGGAAUUCCGGUUAACUUGUAGGUUACUAAAGGCUUGUUCAAUUUUAGAGAUAUUACUAGUUUCUGAUUCUUGACUAGAAGUUGAUUCUAAAGACAUGGAUGACUCAUUAUCAGAAGUAACUUCAACUUGUAAAACUUUAACUGAAGUUUCUUUGUCUUUUACUUUGUCUUUAUCCUUAUUUGGUUUUGGCUUAACCGGGG
rnacentral:lncRNA from 1 species